AAAAACCUGAACCGAGUCCAAAAUGGCUUCUAAAAAAAAAAAAAAAAGGAGAAGCCAAAGCGGAGCCAGCGAGGGGGAAACCCGGAUGUUUGAUACAAAGAGGGCUGGAGGGGGGCGGAGCGGCGCGGGGGCUCCGCGGUUCUGAGUGGGGCGCGGCGCUGCCCGUCAACACCGCGGAGCGCAGCGCACCGCCCGCGGCUCCUGCUGCCGCGCUGCGCCGGGAGGUGCGAAAGGAGCCCCUGCGCUGCCCUUGUUAGGGCAAUCCCUGGGUUAGCGGGCUUCUCUCCAUCGCCGUCGCUGCGGACGAUGUGCUCCGUUCGCGAUUUAUUGCAAUUAUAAUGCGAUCGUCCGGAACUGGGGAGCCCGAAGGGGUGUUAGAGGGAAGGAGGGUGGAAAAAGGGGAUGGUCAUCUUGGGUGCGCUAAGCUUCGGGGAUUUUGCCCUGCAGGGAGGUAAGAGGAAAUAGAAAUCGUUCUCUGCAAACUUUGGGAAGCGCUUUGCUCCACGGAGAAAUUCUGGUGUUUGUUUGUUUGUUUGUUUUUUCACCUUUGGGAAACUUAAGGAGAGGUUGUAAUCUCUGGAAAGGUGGUUUUUGUAUAUGUAUAACAGUGGAACAUGUUCUGAACUGUGAGCGGGAUCCCAAGUGGAGCUGCGAGGAGCUGAUGACCGGUAUCCUUUAUGCUGCCGUGCUUCCUCGUGUGUGUGCUGUGGAAGGGGAGGGCAGCCACAGAACCUUACAGACCCGGCAUGGGGGGGUGACAGGGACUGUGCAGCUGGUACAGCUGCAGGAAAGUGUCCAAAAUAAUACAGACAGGGAGCAAACAGCACUGAAACCAAAGCCCACAGGGGGUCAGGAGAAAGCAAGGUACAUUGUGGCACCUGGCUAAGUUAAAGCAUGGGUGGGAAAUGAGAUGGAGAUGUGUUUGUGAGAGGGCAGAGCUGGGGGCUGAGCCCUGCUCCCUGCAUUGGCACAGGCUGCCCAUAGAGGCAGUGGGUCACUGAUCAUGGAGGACAUGAUCAGUGAUCAGACAUCAUCGAGAGCCGUGGAGAUGCGGCAAUGGGGGACAUAGUGGCAUGGUGGGAUGGGUUGAUGGUUGGACCGAAUGUUCUUAGAGGUCUUUUGGUCCUUAAUGGUUCUACUGUUCUGUGACUCUGUGACUGCACGUGGGUGCAGUGGGGCUGGAGAUGGGGGCAAUGGGGAGAGGGGAGUUCCUGGCUGAAGCUCAGGGAAUGUAACAGCUUCAAGAGAAGACCAAACCUGAGGGUGCAGGUCAGUGAUGCAGCUCUCUGAUUGCUCUGUAGCCCUGUGAAGCAAAACCUGCCUGCAACAGCAGCUGUAAAUGAGAGCCAGGACCUCCAGACGCUCCUGUGCAUCAUCCCUGCCGCUGCCUGAAUAAGCUCGUGGGUUUUGCACUAAAAAAGCCCCCCCUGUGCUGACAAAUUUGCCCUUUGUGCUCUGGCUUCAGCAAGGCCAGUAAAAAUAGUGAGGGAUGGGGCAGACACUGCUGCUUUCAGGGCUUUUCUUAGCUCCAGGCUAUGGAGUGAGGCAUCAGGUGCUGACAGCUCCAGAGGAUACAGCAGACAUAGGGGUCUGUUCCUGAGAUACCCAUAGACCGACAGUUUUGUGAACAUCCACAAUUUGGUAUUUUCCUUUUUUUUUUUUUUCCCCUCCUUUUUUGGGGGGGUUGUAUUUUAAAUAGCAGCAGGCAGCAUCAGAGCCACACGAUAAAGCUUCCCAAAAAAAGCAGAGUCCCGGCCUUAAUCCACACCCCAACCCUGCCAGCAGCCGGGAACCAGAGCACGUCCAUGCUCAGCAUGGAGACUUCUGUGCUCAGACAAGGAGGAUUAUGGGCAUCAUAUGACUGACUGCAAUGAUGGUGUGUGCUUAAUUGGUGAAGGGCUGCAUUUUCUAUCUUUAACACAGGACAAAGGGCCAGAGGGCUGCCUGAUGCACAUGGUUCCUUUCAGGUGUUUUCUUCACUGUACUUUACCCAGAGAGCUGUGGAUGCCCCAUCCCUGGAGGUGCUCAGUAUCAGGUUGGAUGGGGCUUUGGAUAACCUGGUCUGGUAGGAGGUGUCUACCCAUGGAAGGAUUGAAACUGGAUGGGUCCUUUCCAACACAAUACAUUUGAUGAUUCUGUGAUGAUGCUGACACAGCUGAGCUGGAAGGCAAGGCAUGAAGCAUCGCUGGGCACAGCGUGUGAGGGCAGUAUUAAAUGCUGCACUCCCUUGGGUGCCUGCCAGCAGAUCCCAUGGGGUUUUGCAGUGUCUGAAGCCCAGGAGUGCAUCAUUCCUUCAGUCAGAAGAACACACUUGGUUGCUUCCCAUAGACACGUCCCACCACCCACUUCAGUUACCAACCUAUGUAAAUGAGUGUAGUAUAGAAUCAUAGAAUGGCUUGUGUUAGAAGGGACCUCAAAGCCCAACCAGUUCCACCCCUGCUGUGGGCAUGGGCACCUCCAUCUAACCUGGCCUGAGCGCCUCCAGGGAUGGGGCACCUCAUCAGUCUCUGAGUAAAGAAUUUCCUUCUAACAUCUAACCUAAAUCUGCUCUCUUUUUAGUUUAAGAACGUUCCCCUUUUCCUAUCACUGUCAGACCAUUAAUUUGCCCACAUUGUCUUUAGUUGUUGAUAUUUGACCUGAAAAUACAGCUACUCUGCAGUGUGUAUGUUGACUACAGCAACACAGAGCCAAACACUCAUCUCUCCAGCUCCCUCGCCUUCCUCCCUCCCUAGGUGUUUGGUUGGCAGAAGAGCAUCAUCCUUCAAAUUCCAAGUUUUAUUUAAAAAGCUGGACUUGGCUUUAUUAAACCAUUUGCAAUUUAAUAGUGAGAAGGUUCGUAUGGAAGCAUCGUGCCACCGAAAUCGUCCAUGCCAGCAGGGAUAUUUCAACCGAGAGCAUCCCUAUCCCUCCUGCUGCCAUCCAACCUCUCUGCAUCCAGCUGGACCACACUGAGCUUUGGCUUUCAGCUCUUACCUGUGGCCUUGUGCUUUCUGACACACGUGUAGAAGGACCAAUAAAACAUGUCCAAGAGCAUCUGCUGUACUUUUAGAGUUUGUCCCAGAUUAUCACCCGGAUUUCAGUGGUGAGAGUAUAAGAAUGCCCAGUGGGGCCAAAUGCAUCCUACACUGCACUCCUGGAGGUUUGAAUCAGGAAAAAUUUCCUCCCAGACAAGGUAAUUAAUUAAGUUUUGUGGCAAAUACUCUACUGCCAUUAGCAGGAGGUGAUAAGCAUUCAAGACCACAGUAUGUAUAGAGCCAGGCAAAUGCACUGAGCUUCAAAUUGCAACGUUGCUCAGUUAUGUUUUACUGUGUAAUGAACUGAGCAUCUCUGGUGCAGUGAUUUUUCAUGUUUGUAUCGGGUCCAGGUUUUUGUUUUGCAUCAUGGGUGAUGGUCUUUGCUUACUGGGAGCUAAGUUGUCUGGGGGAGACCUAUCUCCAUGCGCUGGCAGCUGGUGAAGUACAAAUGGAGAGGUGGCAUUGAAAGGGAUCUUCAGGUGUCAUCCCGUCCAUCCUCCUCCCUUUGGCAGUGUGUAUUGGACCUCUCGUUAGUCUCCCACAGCCAAAGUGGGCCAAUUCGUCUGUCCUCUCUCUCUGUUCAACCCUCCUGGUUACACUGCCUG